UACGGAGGGUGCGAGCGUUGUCCGGAAUCACUGGGCGUAAAGGGCGCGUAGGCGGCCUGAUAAGUAGGGGGUGAAAUCCUGCGGCUUAACCGCAGGGCUGCCUUCUAAACUGUCAGGCUUGAGCACAGUAGAGGCAGGUGGAAUUCCCGGUGUAGCGGUGGAAUGCGUAGAGAUCGGGAAGAACAUCAGUGGCGAAGGCGGCCUGCUGGGCUGAUACUGACGCUGAGGCGCGAAAGCCAGGGGAGCGAACGGG
rnacentral:rRNA from 1 species